GACUACAAGAAACAACUAGAAGAUAUUAAAGUAGGCUAGACCUGAAAGAGAAAGUGGACGAGCACUGAGAACUGCUUGAGGUAGAGCCUGGAGAACAUGUUUCAGAAGUGCCGGAAGCCAUCCCUGCAGGAGAUCACUAGCAUCAUCACCAAGCAGCUUAGGCUGGAGAAGGAUGUGGCUCGAGUAUGGUUCUGUACCCGGUGCCAGAAGGGCCAACGAUCAAACAUUGUGUAUUCCCAACGAGAGGAGUAUGAGGUCACAGGGACGCCUUGCGGGGGGGAGGGGGGGCUGUAUCCUUUCCUCUGCCCCCAGGUCCCCACUUUGACACUUUGAUACCCCAGGCUAUGGGAGCUCCCUCUUCACCACACUCUACUCAGUCCCUUUUCCUGAGGGUGAGGCCUUCCUUUUGUUCCUCCUCACUGCUAUGGGGCUCUCCCAUGCAUUCAAGCCUAGGCACCAGCCCUCCCUGGGAGUGAUGUGAGCCUAGGCAAGGGAGGGAGGUAGACAAAGAGAACCUGGAGCUCUGGGGUUACAUUCUUUUACUGAACAAGGAUUAAAAGCACAAGGUUGGGGGGUAGGGGUGGAAUAAGAAGUUCAGUGAUGCCUGUCCACCACUCAUAUUUGUCCUUAACAAAGACUGGGACACAGAG